rnacentral:lncRNA from 1 species
GUUUUUGUAGUAUUUACAUAGUAUUAGGUAUUAUAAGUAAUUUAGAGAAUUUAGUUUCCCAUGAGAGACUUGUUGGUGCAUGCCUAUAAUCCCAGCAACUCAGAAGCUGAGGCAGGAGGAUCAAAAGUUUGUGUCCAGCCUUGGCAAUUUAGCAAGAUCCCAUCUCAAAAGAAAAAGGACUGGUGAUGUAGUUCAAUGGUAAAAAGCCCCUGGGUUCAAUCCCCAGUACUUGGGGUAGGGGGUUAUUUUUUUAUUUUUAUUUUUUUUUUUACUGAGAAGGGGCUGGGGGUGUAACUCACUGGUAGAGCAUGCACAAAGCCCUGGGUUAAAAAUAAAUACCAAAGCCCAUUUUGCCAGGCUCACAGGACUAUAGUUAUUUGCAAAUGCCACUUUAUAUAAAGCACUUGAGCAACUGCAAAUUUUGGUAUCUGUGGGGGAUCUUGGGGCCAACUCACUGUUGAAACCAAGGGGCAACUAAUUGCCACCUUCUUGGUUCCAGCCUGACUUCCAGGGUGGGCCUGAGUCGUUAUCUGAGGUGGGAGCAAGAAUCCCAAGCUGUUGAAGGAAGAAUGCCUGGGGCUGGAAUUUUGGUGAACUCUCAGUGAGCAUAAGCAGUAGAAGGUUCUGAAUGGCCAGCAGAAUUUUUGAAAAGUUAAUUUAAAAUCCUUUGUCCCCAGGUUCCAUGCUACAGUCAGAGUUCUGCCAGGUCCCCUUCACGCACUUAAUGACAUUUCAGCUUGCCAGGGAUUAAACUGUCACUGAAUGUGUUUCAGUUCCAGGCAAGAGUUCAAGGUAGCUGGCUCUCCUUUCCCCUCUGGUCGUGAGAAGAACUCUGGGAGGACUUUGGUAGCACUGGCCAUCCUAUUGUGAGGCGCUCUUAACUGGAGGCCCAUGUCCCUGCUGUCCCUAAGGUUCUUAUUUUCCAUGUCCAUGGUUCCUUGGGCCUCCAGCACUGUGUUAGGAUCAGCACUGUGCUGGUGACGAGCUUGCCCUGGCUCUGGUGGCUGCUUCGAGAGCAGUGUGGGUGCUAGGGUUUGGAUCUUAAAUGUCCCCAAAGGCUCCCUUGUUGAAGAUUUGGUACCCAGCUCAUGGCAGUACUGGGAACUAAUGGAGACGCUAGGAAGUGGGGCCUAGUUGGAGAAAGGUCAUUGAGGCCUGCCCUUGAAGGGUGUAUUAAGACCCCAGCCCCUUCCCCUGUCUUGCUUCCUGGUUGUUGGUGGUGUAUCAUACCCUGCCUCCGUGAUCUGCCUCACCAGAGACUGAAACUUCAGAAACCAUGAGCCAAAAAAAUCCUCUCUCUUUUAAGUUGUUGACCUUGGGAUCUUGGUACAGUGACAGGAAGCUAACUUGGUGGUAGAGUUUUAGGAACAGCGCUGGGCUUAUCUGCAGACAUCCAAAACAGAGAAUAACUUGGGAACCAAAAUGAGCUUCCAUUGUUUCCUUCCUUCUAGCCAGGAGGCUGAGGAUGGGUCGCCUGUAGUGAAUGCCUGUGCUGGGGCCACGUGGGGCUCGGUUCAGUCCCUUUGGGGAUGGCUUAACUGAACAGUGAAGCCCUGGCUAAUUCUGUGACAUCUGCCCUAGGCCUCCUAACUCUCCUGGAGGAUAAAGAGUAAGAAGGGACACUUUGCCCCUAACAGAACCCUUCUGACCUCUGAGAGGCUUAACAUGGUGGGACAAAGUUUUGGGGACCAUAAUGGCAUUUGAUUCCCAUCCAAAGAGAGCAAUGGAUGGGGCUCCUUUGCAUUUCCCAUCCACCCCACCAACCAAUAAAGGUGACUCUUCCAGGUUUCCCUUUUCAGUUAAUGUUGCUUGAGAGGGAACGUCCCUCACCACCACAUCUAGUUUAUCGGCAAACCUUGUUGACACUGCCUCCAAAAUAUAUCCAAAUUCCAUCAAGUUUUCUGUAUCCACUGCCAUUCAUUAGUUCAUUUUCUAUUGCUAUAACAAAAUGCCUGAGGCUAG